rnacentral:tRNA from 2 species
GGUGGCGUGUCCGAGCGGCCGAAGGUGCUCGCCUCGAAAGCGAGUGUAGGGUAAUCCCCUACCGAGGGUUCAAAUCCCUCCGCCACCG